rnacentral:rRNA from 1 species
GGUGGGGAUGACGUCAAAUCAUCAUGCCCCUUAUGACCUGGGCUACACACGUGCUACAAUGGACAGAACAAAGGGCUGCAAGACCGCAAGGUUUAGCCAAUCCCAUAAAUCUGUUCUCAGUUCGGAUCGCAGUCUGCAACUCGACUGCGUGAAGCUGGAAUCGCUAGUAAUCGCGGAUCAGCAUGCCGCGGUGAAUACGUUCCCGGGCCUUGUACACACCGCCCGUCACACCACGAGAGUUUGCAACACCCGAAGUCGGUGAGGUAACCUUUAUGGAGCCAGCCGCCGAAGGUGGGGCAGAUGAUUGGGGUGAAGUCGUAACAAGGUAGCCGUAUCGGAAGGUGCGGCUGGAUCACCUCCUUUCUAAGGA